CUGUCAGUUAUCAGUGACGGUGUGGGUGAUUUUCCUGGUGCGCUGUUGCAACAACGAGAGUGGUGUUGUCUUGAGCAUGACGGGGAGGUUACAGCCUAUGGCUUGUGUAGCUUUAUUAGUUAGCCACAUGUAUGCUAACGUAUAGCUGUUCACUAGCCUUUUAAAGCAAGACUCUUGUUAGCAUUUCUAGGGGAUAAAAAUGACAACAUCAUUUUUUAAUAGCCAUUAUUAGCAGUUAUUUUGGCCUUUUCAAAAACGGGAUAAUCUUCACUGGUGAGGAUAUUAGGCGCAUCCACAACAUUAGACUACCGCUGGAUAAAAGUUGGUAUUUGUAAAAGGUACGGAUGGAUAAAAACACACGAAAGGUUCGGAACCAGGACAUAAACCCGUGCAUCGACGAAAGCGAUGCUUCCCAGAAGUGUUUGGACGUCAACAACUAUGAGAAGAGCAUGUGUUCAGCCUAUUUCCAGAGAUAUAAGAACUGUAGGAAAUACUGGCCGUAUCUCUGUCUCACCUGCUCAUGAGUGGAAGGACUGCAAAGGUUUUGGUCCUUGACGCUGCAGUAGUGACACCUACUGGUUGGUCGGGGCGUCUGCACAGUGAAGGGCAGAAGUGGGAAAGAAGCAGCUCAUUGCACCAGGACUCAUGGAGUUGUCAGCACAACAUAAUGGUGACGCGGAGAAGGGAAGGCGUGAAACCGGACAUGCCCUCUGCUGCAGAGAGGCAGGAGAUGCUCGCUGCUCUCGGAGGAAAACCAUACUGAGCGUCAGCAGGACGACAGACACUGUGAAGGAUAUUUACCACAAGCCGACACAUUCUGCCGACGCCCCUGCGACGCAUUGGACGGGUGUAUACUGUGACCCAAGGCCUGACCUGUCCUCCAGCUCCUCGUGUGCAAGUGGACAUCUGUAACUGGUCUGUUGUAGAAUGAAAUGCAAAGAGAGGGACGUCACAGAAAGAUAUCCGAUUAUUUAUUGAGGUUUAUAAACAAUGGGACAUGUACAUGUGUUGUUAUGGUAUUACAAAUCCACAUUUUCACUGAAGUCACAAUGCUGACAUCCUGUUUUGUCUGUCUGUUGAGGACUACCUCAUCUGUGAAAUCUAAAGCUGGGCACUAAUGGUGAAGUGUGCAACCUGUGUGAUGGACCUCUGUCAUCCGUCGAGCCUUAAUUAAAAAAAGAAGCAUUGUAUCUACA